GGAAAUGACAGUGUGCAUUUCUGUGACAAUAGACAAGAACAGCUCAAGGACAGAACUACAUACAUUUAAAUACACAGAAUAAAUGCAUUGAAAGCGUUUCUGUGAAGCUUUGUGAUCGACAAGGACAAGUUUGAUGUCGGACAACAAUAGAAUGUUCAUGAUUUAAUGGGCCAAAGAUGGUAAGGUGAAAGGCACCGUUUAUACUGAGGGGUUGGUGGGACUUCUAAAUACAUUACCACUAUCAUGACUAGGUCGGUUGGCAGGACUUCUAAAUACAUUACCACAAUCAUGACUAGGUUGGUUGGCAGGACUUCUAAAUACAUUACCACAAUCAUGACUAGGUCGGUUGGCAGGACUUCUAAAUACAUUACCACAAUCAUGACUAGGUCGGUUGGU
ensembl:lncRNA